AUUGAACGCUGGCGGCAGGCCUAACACAUGCAAGUCGAACGAGUGGCGGACGGGUGAGUAAUGUCUGGGAAACUGCCUGAUGGAGGGGGAUAACUACUGGAAACGGUAGCUAAUACCGCAUACCAUCAGAUGUGCCCAGAUGGGAUUAGCUAGUUGGUGGGGUAACGGCUCACCAAGGCGACGAUCCCUAGCUGGUCUGAGAGGAUGACCAGCAACACUGGAACUGAGACACGGUCCAGACGCCUACGGGAGGCAGCAGUGGGGAAUAUUGCACAAUGGGGGCAAGCCUGACGCAGCCAUGCCGCGUGGGUGAAGAAGGCCUUCGGGUUGUAAAGCACUUUCGGCGGGGAGGCGUUACCCGAAGAGGAAGCAACGGCUAACUCCGUGCCAGCAGCCGCGGUAAUUC
rnacentral:rRNA from 1 species